rnacentral:rRNA from 1 species
UACAGAGGUCCCAAGCGUUGUUCGGAUUCACUGGGCGUAAAGGGUGCGUAGGCGGUCGGGUAAGUCUGAUGUGAAAUCUCACAGCUUAACUGUGAAACUGCAUUGGAUACUAUCCGGCUAGAGGAAUGGAGGGGAGACUGGAAUACUUGGUGUAGCAGUGAAAUGCGUAGAUAUCAAGUGGAACACCAGUGGCGAAGGCGAGGCUCUGGACAUUUCCUGACGCUUAGGCACGAAAGCCAGGGGAGCAAACGGG